rnacentral:rRNA from 1 species
CCUACGGGUGGCAGCAGUGGGGAAUAUUGGACAAUGGGGGGAACCCUGAUCCAGCCAUGCCGCGUGUGUGAAGAAGGCCCUUGGGUUGUAAAGCACUUUCAGUGAGGAAGAACGCCUGGUGGUUAAUACCCAUCAGGAAAGACAUCACUCACAGAAGAAGCACCGGCUAACUCCGUGCCAGCAGCCGCGGUAAUACGGAGGGUGCGAGCGUUAAUCGGAAUUACUGGGCGUAAAGCGCGCGUAGGUGGCUUGAUAAGCCGGUUGUGAAAGCCCCGGGCUCAACCUGGGAACGGCAUCCGGAACUGUCAAGCUAGAGUGCAGGAGAGGAAGGUAGAAUUCCCGGUGUAGCGGUGAAAUGCGUAGAGAUCGGGAGGAAUACCAGUGGCGAAGGCGGCCUUCUGGACUGACACUGACACUGAGGUGCGAAAGCGUGGGUAGCAAACAGGAUUAGAUACCCUAGUAGUC